rnacentral:rRNA from 1 species
GCGCAGCAGUCGCGAAACCUUUGCAAUACACGCAAGCGUGACAGGGUCAUCCCGAGUGCCGACCGCUGAGGAUGGCUUUUACCCAGUCUAGAAAGCUGGGGGAAUAAGGAGAGGGCAAGUCUGGUGUCAGCCGCCGCGGUAAUACCAGCUCUCCGAGUGGUGUGGACGUUUAUUGGGCCUAAAGCAUCCGUAGCUGGCUGAACAAGUCCUCUGUUAAACCCACCGAUUUAAUCGUUGGCUUGCGGGGGAUACUGCUCGGCUAGGGGACGAGAGAGGCAGACGGUAUUCCCGGGGUAGGGGUGAAAUCCUAUAAUCCCGAGAAGACCACCAGUGGCGAAGGCUGUCGGCUAGAACGCGCCCGACAGUGAGGGAUGAAAGCUGGGGGAGCGAACCGGAUUAGAUACCCGCGUAGUCC